CUGUGCGGGGGAUAACAGGAGGAAACUCCUGCUAAUACCGCAUAGCCAUGAGCACCGCAUGGAGCUCAUGCCAAAUAUCCUUUCGGGGAUAGCGCAGGGAUGGACCUAUGGCGCAUUAGCUGGUUGGCGGGGCAACGGCCCACCAAGGCAACGAUGCGUAGCCGGCCUGAGAGGGCGGACGGCCACAUUGGGACUGAGACACGGCCCAGACUCCUACGGGAGGCAGCAGUAGGGAAUUUUCGGCAAUGGGGGAAACCCUGACCGAGCAACGCCGCGUGAGCGAAGAAGGCCUUCGGGUCGUAAAGCUCUGUUGUAAAGGAAGAACGGCGCAUACAGGAAAUGGUAUGCGAGUGACGGUACUUUACCAGAAAGCCACGGCUAACUACGUGCCAGCAGCCGCGGUAAUACGUAGGUGGCGAGCGUUAUCCGGAAUCAUUGGGCGUAAAGAGGGAGUAGGCGGCCGCAAGGGUCUGUGGCGAAAGACCGAAGCUAAACUUCGGUAAGCCAUGGAAACCGGGCGGCUAGAGUGCGGAAGAGGAUCGUGGAAUUCCAUGUGUAGCGGUGAAAUGCGUAGAUAUAUGGAGGAACACCAGUGGCGAAGGCGACGGUCUGGGCCGCAACUGA
rnacentral:rRNA from 1 species